UAAUGACAUAUAGUACCAUGAUUUAAUGACAUAUAGUACUAUGAUUUAAUGACAUAUAGUACUAUGAUUUAAUGACAUAGUACUAUGAUUUAAUGACAUAUAGUACUAUGAUUUAUGAUUAGGACAAAAAAAAUGUAAACUAAGCAUUGAUAACAAGGUGAUAAACAAACAAUCGUGUGUCUUCAUCAUUUAAUCCAACGCAUCUGAAUCAGAACCAACCAGUCCAGCGGGAUAUAUUAACAAGCUCAAGUUAUUUUUCAGUUAUUUUUGUACGUACUGAUCGGGUGAUGCAAUCUUUGUGCUGCUUAGUGGAAGAAUGAAAGUGUAGACCUGAUUCUCUUUUCAAUAACUGACUAGUGAAUGAUUUUUAUAAAUCAUGUUACAGGCAUGAUCCUAACAUGUUACAGGUAUGAUCCUAACAUGUUACAGGUAUGAUCCUAACAUGUUACAGGUAUGAUCCUAACAUGUUACAGGCAUGAUCCUAACAUGUUACAGGCAUGAUCCUAACAUGUUACAGGCAUGAUCCUAACAUGUUACAGGCAUGAUCCUAACAUGUUUAUAUAUAUAUACUGAACUAAAGUAGAAUUGAAACAUAACAUGUUACAGGCGUGAUCCUAACAUGUUUAUAUAUAUAUAUACUGAACUAAAGUAGAAAUGAAACAUAACAUGUUACAGGUGUGAUCCUAACAUGUUACAGACGUGAUCCUAACAUGUUACAGGCAUGAUCCUUCCAUGUUUAUAUAUAUAUUUAUAUAUACUGAACUUAUGUAGAACUGCAACAUGCAACUAUUUCAACUAUUUUACUGAGCUGCUGCUCAUUUAAGGAAAUCAGUCAAUUGAAAUAAAUUCAUUAGGCCCUAAUCUAUGUAUUUCACAUGACUGGGAAGGGGCACAGAUGGGGGGCCAGGCCCAGCCAAUCAGAAUGAGUUUUUCCCCCCAAAAAGGCUUUCUUACAGAAAUAAAUACUCCUCAGUUUCAUCAGCUGUCCAGGUGGCUGGUCUCAGAUGAUCCCACAGGUGAAGAUGCCGGAUGUGGAGGUCCUGGGCUAGGCAGAAAACACUUGAGUUAGGCUGAAACACCUGCAUUUUGGAGCUGCCUUACUAAAGAAAGCAAAAAAGCGGCCAUGUUGGUAUGCGGCUUCAUUACCUCAAUUAUUUUUUUUUUUGCAAACUGAUAUGUGACACGUAUUAAUGACAAAAUAACAUGCAAAGCAGGUGGGGCUAUUUUUUUAAAAUUAUACAGAGAUUGGAGCAGAGGGCAGCCCUAUAUAUACAGAGAUUGGAACAGAGAACAGCCCUAUAUAUACAGAGAUUGGAACAGAGGGCAGCCCUAUACAUACAGAGAUUGGAACAG
ensembl:lncRNA